rnacentral:lncRNA from 13 species
CAGAGAUUAGAAUCUGCUCCCAGAAGAAGAAGGGGCAACAGGCAAGCAAAGAUAAUUGAAAUCACUGUGCAUGCCCAACCUGACGAAAGUCAUAGACUUUUUUGGCUACAGAGCAAGAUACUAUGGAUGUAACACUGAGCAAAAGUAGACAUGCUCCUUCCAGUAUCACCAUAAGGUCUACACUUAAGGUAGAAGCUUUCCAGUGGACUUUGCAAAGCAAGGUGCUGUGAAAUUAACUAUCUACAGACAGGGCCAUGUGUCAGGCCAGCAAGAGUGACAUGUAGGAUCUGAAGGCCUCAGUCCUAGACUGUAAGAAACUGAAAUCUGCGAUAAACAACAUGAAUUUGAAAGAAACCCCUGAACUCCAGAAUACACAGCUGACACCUUGAUUGAAGCUUUAUGAGAUACUAAGCAGCGGACUCAACUGAGUUGUAUACAGAUAUCUGACCCAUAGACACUCUGAAAUAAUAAUUGGUGUUGUUUUAAGCUGCUAAACUUGUGGUAAUUCCCACAUAGCAACAUAGCAAUAGAAAUUAAAUACACAGAUAAAAUAUUUUUUCUUAUAAUUCUGUUUAAAAAUUAAUUUUGGAGAUUAUUUUGUAUUUUCUGAAAUAUUUUGUAUAAGAUUAUAUUAUUUAUUGUUUAAAUAUUUUAAAUAAAUAACCAGUGAAGGCUCUGGGCCUAGAUUGU